AAGCCAUAGUGUGGGAACUCCCUCUAAAGAUCUUUAUACCUUUCCCAUGCAUCAUAAAGAGAUUCAUCAUCUUUUAGUUUGAAAUUGUUGAGUUUAACUCAAAGUUU